GGCCUUGAGGUGUCAAAUCACAUUGAAUUGCAAAUUCAAAGAAGCAGCUUCAAUCCUGCCCGGGCUU
rnacentral:tRNA from 1 species